rnacentral:rRNA from 1 species
AUGCAGUCGAGGGGUAACAUAGAGAAGCUUGCUUUUCUGAUGACGACCGGCGCACGGGUGCGUAACGCGUAUAGAAUCUACCUUAUACUGAGGGAUAGCCUUUGGAAACGAAGAUUAAUACCUCAUAGUAUGAUUAAUUGGCAUCAAUAUAUCAUUAAAGGUUACGGUAUAAGAUGACUAUGCGUUCUAUUAGCUAGAUGGUGUGGUAACGGCACACCAUGGCAACGAUAGAUAGGGGCCCUGAGAGGGGGAUCCCCCACACUGGUACUGAGACACGGACCAGACUCCUACGGGAGGCAGCAGUGAGGAAUAUUGGACAAUGGAGGCAACUCUGAUCCAGCCAUGCCGCGUGCAGGAAGACUGCCCUAUGGGUUGUAAACUGCUUUUAUACAGGAAGAAACCUAGUUACGUGUAACUAGCUGACGGUACUGUAAGAAUAAGGAUCGGCUAACUCCGUGCCAGCAGCCGCGGUAAUACGGAGGAUCCAAGCGUUAUCCGGAAUCAUUGGGUUUAAAGGGUCCGUAGGUGGAUAAUUAAGUCAGAGGUGAAAAUUUGCGGCUCAACCAUACCAUUGGCUUUGAUCCUGGUUGUCUUGAAUUAUAGUAAAGCAGAAAGAAUAUGAAAUGUACUGGAUAAAUCCUUUGAUGAC